rnacentral:rRNA from 1 species
GGAGGGUGCAAGCGUUGUUCGGAAUUAUUGGGCGUAAAGAGCGUGUAGGCGGUUCGGUAAGUCAGAUGUGAAAGCCCUGGGCUCAACCCAGGAAGUGCAUUUGAAACUACCAGACUUGAGUACGGGAGAGGAGGGGGGAAUUCCUGGUGUAGAGGUGAAAUUCGUAGAUAUCGGGAGGAAUACCAGUGGCGAAGGCGCCCUCUGGACCGAUACUGACGCUGAGACGCGAAAGCGUGGGGAGCAAACAGGAUUAGAUACCCUGGUAGUCCACGCCGUAAACGAUGAGCACUAGGUGUAGCGGGUAUUGACCCCCCUGCUGUGCCCGUAGCUAACGCAUUAAGUGCUCCGCCUGGGGACUACGGUCGCAAGACUA